AUUGAACGCUGGCGGCAGGCCUAACACAUGCAAGUCGAGCGGAUGAGAGAAGCUUGCUUCUCGAUUCAGCGGCGGACGGGUGAGUAAUGCCUAGGAAUCUGCCUGGUAGUGGGGGACAACGUUUCGAAAGGAACGCUAAUACCGCAUACGUCCUACGGGAGAAAGCAGGGGACCUUCGGGCCUUGCGCUAUCAGAUGAGCCUAGGUCGGAUUAGCUAGUUGGUGAGGUAAUGGCUCACCAAGGCGACGAUCCGUAACUGGUCUGAGAGGAUGAUCAGUCACACUGGAACUGAGACACGGUCCAGACUCCUACGGGAGGCAGCAGUGGGGAAUAUUGGACAAUGGGCGAAAGCCUGAUCCAGCCAUGCCGCGUGUGUGAAGAAGGUCUUCGGACUGUAAAGCACUUUAAGUUGGGAGGAAGGGUUGUAGAUUAAUACUCUGCAAUUUUGACGUUACCGACAGAAUAAGCACCGGCUAACUCUGUGCCAGCAGCCGCCGCGGUAA
rnacentral:rRNA from 1 species